AGUUCGUGGUUCGGACAGUUCUUGACCAAGCCCUUGAAAUGCUCCUAUGCAGCACUCAAGGUCUCAAUGACUUCCUGUUCAAAGUUCAUGAUUUCCGAUGCC